rnacentral:lncRNA from 1 species
AAGAAAGUGACUUUUAUCGACUUCUUCUGGAGUUUAGAGACUCUGACAUGAAGCAGGCUUUCCUUACUGAGGAGUUAGCAACGCUGCUAAGGGUGCAGAGCCACACAUGCGCUCCGAGCUCUGCAUGGGAGACUGAAGCUGACAGAGCUGCAGCAGUUAGCAGGUUUCACCCUCAGAGACCACCAGGGGUUCAUGUUGAGGCAUUUUCAGUUUUUUUUUUUUUUUUUUGCCAUAGACACUGUCAGCACAAUCUGCAGUUACACUAACAAAAAUGCUGCAAAAAACAAAGAAUUAUGGAAAAAUUACACAUGGACUAACAUAGAGGAGGAUCUACACAAGUUUUUUACAUCAUGUUUUACAUCAUGCAUCAUUUACAUCAUGUUUUUUUGUAGUGGCAUAAAUAAAAAGUGACAUUUGUGAGACUAUACAGUGUUUUGUAAAUAAUUUUACAAAGAACACCUGGGCCAUUGCCUGCAUUUUGAUGUAAAUAGAGGUAAAUUACUAUGUUCUUUGUUAAAAAUUUGCAUAUGUUUUGAAGUUUACAAUUUUUAUUUGAAGUUUAAGUUUUAAAAACAGUUCAUCACACAUAUUUGUGGUUUUCACAGUAAAAACGUUACUUUUUUCCACUCGGAUUUUAUGUUUUGUGUGUGAAUUUGGGUCCAAUGUGUAAAUAUAGUAUGUCAAAAUGAUAAAAUAACUGUAAAUUGACACAGGUGAGGUUGUGCUGAAAAAAAUGAUACCAGGCAAGGCAAGGUAAAAAUUUUGUAAGAGGAAAUAUAAAGGUAAAAUCUAAAGUAGUCAAAAACGGCCAAUAGUGACUCACAGACUCCACAGACAAGUCCCUUUGGCGCCACUCAGUGGGCAAAACUACUUUGUCUACUGUAAUGUAUAUUUGGGUCAUCUUUGGCGCCCCCUAAAACGUAAACCGUGGGGUGCAGCGUCAUGAUUUUUACAACUUUGAAUGGCCAUGGAGUGUAGAUUGGCCUGAGCAAAUUUGGUGUCAGUGGGACGAAAGCCUUAGGAGGAGUUAGCGAAAUUCCAAUGUGUGCGAAUCAGCAAAAAAUGCAAAAUAGCCCUUUUACCGUACAUUAUACAGAUACGCGCUCUUUGACUUUUUCGUAGAUCUAAUUGAGAUACACAUGAUUGUCAAUUUUUGUGUCAUUUUGCCAAAGCGUACAGGCGUGACAGUCAACAAUGUGUAUUUUCACCUUAGGGGACAAGAAAAAAUGGACUUUUUUCUCCUGCCAUGGGGGGGCGCUCUUUUGGGGAGUAAAAAUUCCUUCACAAAUGUGUUGAUGGCUGGACAUUGCAUCAUCCUAGAAAACUUGGAGGCCAGUGAGGACAAAAAUAAAAAGUUAUAAGACUUUUAAAAAUGUGGAUUUUUGGGUUAUCUUUGGCGCCCCCUAGAACCUAAACCGUGGGGUGCAGCGUCAUGAUUUGAAUAACUUUUAAUGGCCAUGGGGUGUAGAUUGGCCUGAGCAAAUGUGGUGCCGGUGGAACGAAAGCCUUCGGAGGAGUUAGCGAAAUUCCAAUGUGUGCGGAUCGGCAAAAAAUGCGAAAUAACCCUUUAACCGUACAUUUGACAGAUACGCCCGCACUGACUUUUUUGUAGAUCUUAUUGAGAUACAUGUGUGUGUCAAUUUUUGUGUCAUUUUGACAAAGCGUACAGGCGUGACAGUCAAUAGUGUGAAUUUUCACCUUAGGGGGCGCUAUGGAGCCAUUUUGCAUUUUCUUGUUUGGGCGACUUCGGAAUAUCAAAUUUUUCACCAGGCCCGGUCGUCCUGCCAAAUUUCAUGAGUUUUCGCCAGUGGGAAGUGGGCCAUUUUCCAGUUCAAAGGGGAGGAAAAAUAAUAACUAGGGCCCCGGUGGGGCACUGUCGGGCCCGAGCCACGUUGCGCCGCCCCCAGCGCGACCGCCUCCCCCUCCCGAUCGCGUCACACUAAAGGUCCAAAGAUGGUGUGCGCACUUGUCUGUGGUCAUUUCCCAUUAUAAUGAAUGGGAGGCGCAGUUUCUACCAAAACACUCGCUGCAGACAAACUACAUGUCCUAUUUGAAAAAAGUCUGGACCAUGAGUGAGGGCACAAACACAGCUAGGAUAUAUCCAAAUGGCAAGUUGCUCCUCGUUACGGUGUUGCUGGGAGAGUGAUGCGAUUGAGCCAUUGAGUGAUGGGCAGGAAAAACUUGACUGUUUCUCCUGCCAUGGGGGUUGGGGGUUGGGGGUUGGGGGUUGGGGGAUGGGGGGGGGGGAUGCGGAUUCUUUUAAGAAUGUGGAUAUUUUGGUCAUCUUUGGCGCCCCCUAGAACGUAAACCGUGGGGUGCAGCGUCAUGAUUUUUACAACUUUGAAUGGCCAUGGGGUGUAGAUUGGCCUGAGCAAAUUUGGUGUCAGUGGGACGAAAGCCUUAGGAGGAGUUAGCCACAUUCCAAUGUGUGCGAAUCGGCAAAAAAUGCAAAAUAGCCCUUUAACCGUACAUUUUACAGAUACGCGCCCAUUGACUUUUUCGUAGAUCUUAUUGAGAUACAUGUGAUUGUCAAAUUUUGUGUCAAUAUGACAAAGCGUACAGGUAUGACAGUCAACAAUGUGUUUUUUCACCUUAUGGGACAAGAAAAAAUGGACUUUUUUCUCCUGCCAUGGGGGGGGCGCUCUUUUGGGGAGUAAAAAUUCCUUCACAAAUGUGUUGAUGGCUGGACAUUGCAUCAUCCUAGAAAACUUGGAGGCCAGUGAGGACAAAAAUAAAAAGUUAUAAGACUUUGAAAUAUGUGGAUUUUAGGGUUAUCUUUGGCGCCCCCUAGAACCUAAACCGUGGGGUGCAGCGUCAUGAUUUGAAUAACUUUUAAUGGCCAUGGGGUGUAGAUUGGCCUGAGCAAAUGUGGUGCCGGUGGAAAGCCAGCCUUAGGAGGAGUUAGCGAAAUUCCAAUGUGUGCGAAUCGGCAAAAAAUGCGGAAUAACCCAUUAACCGUACAUUUGACAGAUACGCCCGCACUGACUUUUUUGUAGAUCUUAUUGAGAUACAUAUGUGUGUCAAUUUUUGUGUCAUUUUGACAAAGCGUAAAGGCGUGACAGUCAAUAGUGUGAAUUUCCACCUUAGGGGGCGCUAUGGAGCCAUUUUGCAUUUUCUUGUUUGGGCGACUUCGGAAUAUCAAAUUUUUCACCAGGCCCGGUCAUCCUGCCAAAUUUCAUGAGUUUUCGCCAGUGGGAAGUGGGCCAUUUUCCAGUUCAAAGGGGAGGAAAAAGAACACUUGCCACAGCCAGCCUCGUGAGUGCCUAGCCUAUUGGAUAUCACUGUCACCUACACAGGACAGUCAUACUUUGUUUUGUAAUUAGGGCCCGAGCCAGCUGCAGAGCAGCCGGGCGUAGGCCCUAUUAUUCCCCAAGUGGUUUUUCUUUGUUUCUUUCUUUCUUUCUUUCUUUCUUUCUUUCUUCUUUUUCCUCCCCUUUGAACUGGAAAAUGGCCCACUUCCCACUGGCGAAAACUCAUGAAAUUUGGCAGGAUGACCGGGCCUGGUGAAAAAUUCGAUAUUCUGAAGUCGCCCAAACAAUAAAAUGCAAAAUGGCUCCAUAGCGCCCCCUAAGGUGGAAAUUCACACUAUUGACUGUCACGCCUGUACGCUUUGUCAUAUUGACACAAAAAUUGACACACAUAUGUAUCUCAAUAAGAUCUACAAAAAAGUCAGUGCGGCCGUAUCUGUCAAAAUUACGGUUAAAGGGUUAUUUCGCAUUUUUUGCCGAUCCGCACACAUUGGAAUUUCGCUAACUCCUCCGAAGGCUUUCGUUCCACCGGCACCACAUUUGCUCAGGCCAAUCUACACCCCGUGGCCAUUAAAAGUUAUCAAAAUCAUGACGCUGCACCCCAAGGUUUAGGUUCUAGGGGGCGCCAAAGAUAACACUAAAAUCCACAUAUUUAAAAGUCUUAUAACUUUUUAUUUUUGUCCUCACUGGCCUCCAAGUUUUCUAGGAUGAUGCAAUGUCCAGCCAUCAACACAUUUGUGAAGGAAUUUUUACUCCCCAAAAGAGCGCCCCCCAUGGCAGGAGAAAAAAGUCCAUUUUUUCUUGUCCCCUAAGGUGAAAAUACACAUUGUUGAGUGUCACGCCUAUACGCUUUGUCAAAAUGACACAAAAAUUGACACACACAUGUAACUCAAUAAGAUCUACGAAAAAGUCAAUGCGCGCGUAUCUGUCAAAUGUACGGUUAAAGGGUUAUUCCUUAUUUUUUGCCGAUCCGCACACAUUGGAAUGUGGCUAACUCCUCCUAAGGCUUUCGUUCCACCGGCACCACAUUUGCUCAGGCCAAUCUACACCCCAUGGCCAUUAAAAGUUAUUCAAAUCAUGACGCUGCACCCCACGGUUUAGGUUCUAGGGGGCGCCAAAGAUAACCCUAAAAUCCACAUAUUUAAAAGUCUUAUAACUUUUUAUUUUUGUCCUCACUGGCCUCCAAGUUUUCUAGGAUGAUGCAAUGUCCAGCCAUCAACACAUUUGUGAAGGAAUUUUUACUCCCCAAAAGAGCGCCCCCCCCCCCAUGGCAGGAGAAAAAAGUCCAUUUUUUCUUGUCCCCUAAGGUGAAAAUACAUAUUGUUGAGAUUCACGCCUAUACGCUUUGUCAUAUUGACACAAAAUUUGACAAUCACGUGCCUUGCCUGGUAUCAUUUUUUUCAGCACAACCUCACCUGUGCGAAUUUACAGUUAUUUUAUCAUGUUGACAUACUGAAUUUACACAAUGGACCCAAAUUCACACACAAAACAUAAAAUCCGAGUGGAAAAAAGUAACAUUUUUACUGUGAAAACCACAAAUAUGUGUGAUGAACUGUUUUUAAAACUUGAACUUCAAAUAAAAAUUGUAAACUUCAAAACAUAUGCAAAUUUUAAACAAAGAACAUAGUGAUUUACCUCUAUUUACAUCAAAAUGCAGGCAAUGGCCCAGGCGUUCUUUGUAAAAUUAUUUACAAAACACUGUAUAGUCUCACAAAUGUCACUUUUUAUUUAUGCCACUACAAAAAAACAUGAUGUAAAUGAUGCAUGAUGUAAAACAUGAUGUAAAAAACUUGUGUAGAUCCUCCUCUAUGUCAGUCCAUGUGUAAUUUUUCCAUAAUUCUUUGUUUUUUGCAGCAUUUUUGUUAGUGUAACUGCAGAUUGUGCUGACAGUGUCUAUGGCACAAAAAAAAAAGAAAUUAAAAUGCCUCAACAUGAACCCUUGGUGGUCUCUGAGGGUGAAACCUGCUAACUGCUGCAGCUCUGUCAGCUUCAGUCUCCCAUGCAGAGCUCUGAGCGCAUGUGUGGCUCUGCACCCUUAGCAGCGUUGCUAACUCCUCAGUAAGGAAAGCCUGCUUCAUGUCAGAGUCUCUAAACUCCAGAAGAAGUCGAUAAAAGUCCCUUUCUUUCUAAAAAAAAGUCGUUAGGGGGUCUGAAAAGUCAUUGAAUCUAACUACAAAGUCGCUAGGUUUGCAACUACGUGUCCCAGACUGCAUCCCUGCUGAGAGUCCCUCCCUCGUUUCUCAUGUUGCAGGAAGAACGUAAGCGCCCGCCCCUUGUCAAUCAGUCACCAUAUAAUUUUGGAUUGGUUGUUGUGGUGAAGUUUUCCACCAAUAGGAGAGAUGUUGUGGUGUGUUUUUUUUUUCUUUUGGCAAGCCUUUUCCGCCUGUAAGACCUGUCGCUAAUGUCUGCAUGCUAUGUUUUCCUGUCUCAUACAGCGCGAUCGAGCGCCGAACGUGAUCAAAAUAAGCAGAAAAAAAGUAUCGCGGACAUAAUUUAUCAUAACUCUGGUUUUAUUUGGCCUAUCAACACAAUUUAAAAACUGGUAUAUAGGUUGAGGUCCUCACUUUUGAGAUAAGUUGAAACGGAGAGUCAACGAGGCUCCGUCUUGCAGCUACAUCCGGUUAAAUAUGUCAUGUGACUUGAACGCACACACAGACACACACACACGCACACACACACACACACACACACACACACACACACACACACACACACACACACUCAGAGUCUGGUUUUUAGCACCUGCAAAAACAUGCUAUUUACAUAUUUGACAAGAAUGCAGAGGCUCCUUUUGCCCCUGAAAAAAAUCAAAUUUCAAACACAACUUGACUGCUCAUUUCUCCAAAAGACAACCAUGAAGCUCCAUCCAAACCUGAAGCAGGCAGUUGGUGCAUGUGUACAGUAACCUGAGGGGAGUGAGGUGAGUGCUUCUGAGGAGAACAUGAGCAGUGAAGAUUCACCUUGGAGCUAGAACAGAGACAUGCACAUGAUUAUACAGGGGCAGGGGCUCAAGUUUUUUCCAGUCGUUUAUACAAUAUGGAAAUUAAUGUGAAAUUAAAACACAAAGUAUUAAUAGAAAGGUAAUGACUGUCCUGUGUAGGUGACAGUGAUAUCCAAUAGGCUAGGCACUCACGAGGCUGGCUGUGGCAAGUGUAAGUGAAAGCAACACGCACUGGCAGGAAGAACAGCAAACGCCGAUGAAGGAAAAGGGUCUUUGCAGUGAUGGGCGUUACCAGAGAGGACGAUGGCCAGAGGACACAAAUGGGACAGGAAGGCAGCACGUUGGGGGGGGGGGGACGCGACACGGCUCGGGCCCGCCAGUGCCCCAACGGGGUCCUAGUUUCACAUUAAUUUCCAUAUUGUAUAAACGACUGGAAAAAACUUGAGCCCCUGCCCCUGUAUAAUCAUGUGCACGUCCCUGUUCUAGCUCCAAGGUGAAUCUUCACUGCUCAUGUUCUCCUCAGAAGCAGUCACCUCACUCCCCUCAGGUUACUGUACACAUGCACCAACUGCCUGCUUCAGGUUUGGAUGGAGCUUCAUGGUUGUCUUUUGGAGAAAUGAGCAGUCAAGUUGUGUUUGAAAUUUGAUUUUUUUCAGGGGCAAAAGGAAGCCUCUGCAUUCUUGUCAAAUAUGUAUAUAGCAUGUUUUUGCAGGUGCUAAAAAACAGACUCUGAGUGUGUGUGUGUGUGUGUGUGUGUGUGUGUGUGUGCGUGUGUGUGUGUGUGUCUGUGUGUGUGUGUGUGUGUGUGUGUGUAUCCUGCAGUACUCUGAGAAGAAUAAUCAGCAUAUUUCUGAGGUGAAUUUUGAAGAUUCAUCUGAGAGUUAGGUUUGAUUCGAUUCGAUUGACGCUCCCCAGCGUUCAAGUCACAUGACAUAUUUAACCGGAUGUAGCUGCAAGACGGAGCCUCGUUAACUCUUCGUUUCAACUUAUCUCAAAAGUGAGCACCUCAACCUAUAUACCAGUUUUUAAAUUGUGUUGAUAGGCCAAAUAAAACCAGAGUUAUGAUAAAUUAUGUCCGCGAUACUUUUUUUCUGCUUAUUUUGAUCACGUUCGGCGCUCGAUCGCGCUGUAUGAGACAGGAAAACAUAGCAUGCACACAUUAGCGACAGGUCUUACAGGCGGAAAAGGCUUGCCAAAAGAAAAAAAAACACACACUACAACAUCUCUCCUAUUGGUGGAAAACUUCACCACAACAACCAAUCCAAAAUUAUAUGGUGACUGAUUGACAAGGGGCGGGCGCUUACGUUCUUCCUGCAACAUGAGAAGGGAGGGAGGGACUCUCAGCAGGGAUGCAGUCUGGGACACGUAGUUACAAACCUAGCGACUUUGUUGUUAGAUUCAAUGACUUUUCAGACCCCCUAACGACUUUUUUUUAGAAAGAAAGGGACUUUUAUCGACUUCUUCUGGAGUUUAGAGACUCUGACAUGAAGCAGGCUUUCCUUACUGAGGAGUUAGCAACACUGCUAAGGGUGCAGAGCCACACAUGUGCUCAGAGCUCUGCAUGGGAGACUGAAGCUGACAGAGCUGCAGCAGUUAGCAGGUUUCACCCUCAGAGACCACCAGGGGUUCAUGUUGAGGCAUUUUAAAUUUUUUUUUUUUUUUUUGUGCCAUAGACACUGUCAGCACAAUCUGCAGUUACACUAACAAAAAUGCUGCAAAAAACAAAGAAUUAUGGAAAAAUUACACAUGGACUGACAUAGAGGAGGAUCUACACAAG